rnacentral:rRNA from 1 species
CCGGUAAACGGCGGCCGUAACUAUAACGGUCCUAAGGUAGCGAAAUUCCUUGUCGGGUAAGUUCCGACCUGCACGAAUGGCGUAAUGAUGGCCAGGCUGUCUCCACCCGAGACUCAGUGAAAUUGAACUCGCUGUGAAGAUGCAGUGUACCCGCGGCAAGACGGAAAGACCCCGUGAACCUUUACUAUAGCUUGACACUGAACAUUGAGCCUUGAUGUGUAGGAUAGGUGGGAGGCUUAGAAGUGUGGACGCCAGUCUGCAUGGAGCCGACCUUGAAAUACCACCCUUUAAUGUUUGAUGUUCUAACGUUGACCCGUAAUCCGGGUUGCGGACAGUGUCUGGUGGGUAGUUUGACUGGGGCGGUCUCCUCCUAAAGAGUAACGGAGGAGCACGAAGGUUGGCUAAUCCUGGUCGGACAUCAGGAGGUUAGUGCAAUGGCAUAAGCCAGCUUGACUGCGAGCGUGACGGCGCGAGCAGGUGCGAAAGCAGGUCAUAGUGAUCCGGUGGUUCUGAAUGGAAGGGCCAUCGCUCAACGGAUAAAAGGUACUCCGGGGAUAACAGGCUGAUACCGCCCAAGAGUUCAUAUCGACGGCGGUGUUUGGCACCUCGAUGUCGGCUCAUCACAUCCUGGGGCUGAAGUAGGUCCCAAGGGUAUGGCUGUUCGCCAUUUAAAGUGGUACGCGAGCUGGGUUUAGAACGUCGUGAGACAGUUCGGUCCCUAUCUGCCGUGGGCGCUGGAGAACUGAGGGGGGCUGCUCCUAGUACGAGAGGACCGGAGUG